CUGAUAUUAUCAGAUUAAUAGAAAAUAAUCUCAAAAAUACUAUUAAUUCUAUAAAAGAGAUGUUGUGCGUUACCAGUGGAAAAAUAAUUGGAAUAUUGGAUUACCAUGUAUUUUAAACAGCAAGAAGUUAUGCAGUAGUUUUGAUAAAUCUGGACUAAAAUGUAGUGUGACUCAUGAGUUUCGUAUGAAAGAACUUGAUAGAAAGCUUAGACAAAUUAUGAAGCAAAAUAGCAUCGUUACUUUAAAAAAUAUUUGUUAGUUAAUACUAAGUAAAAUAUUAGAAUUAGCCCAUAUGUUUCAAUCAAAUAAAUCUCAUGAAGAUUUUGGAUAAAUUUUGUAAAAAAAAGGCUCAAAAGUGUAAGCUCUAAAAUCAAGAGUUAUGGUAGAAUAUUGACUUUUUAAUUUUUUUUAACUGUUGACAUAAUUAGUUAUUAUGUCGAAUAAGACAAAUAAAAUAAAUGGUAUGUUAACACGUAACCAUCAUCAUGAACCUUUCACUUGGUCCUAAAAUUUACACUAUUUAUUACUGAAAACAUAAUUAAAAUUUUACUAAUUAAACUAGUAAUAACAUUAAGUAUAUGUAGCACUCUCCAUAUCCAGUUUUAAUAAUAAUAACUAUUAUAAUAAGAAGAGUAUAAACACAUUUUUUAAUAUAAGAUAAUUAAUACUACAUUAAUUAUGUAGUAAUCCAAAUUAAUAUAAAAAAAAUUUUAACAAGAACAAUUUUAAGGAAAUGGUUAUUGAAGCAUUUAGAUGAACCCUGCUGCGUUAUCUUUUGUUUUUUUAUUGUAAUGUUUGUAAUUGCUUCAAGACUUGUAGAUUGAUUUGUUGUUUUUUUUUUUUAGUGUCUGUUAAGCUACCACUUCAAAAAUUAUAGAUUGAUGUAUUAGACCUUUUGUACUGGUUUCUGAUGUUUGAUUAUCAACUAUCUAAGGACUCACAGAAAUACUUGCGAAAAUGUUAUUAAGCCCUCCAACUGUUUUUAUGUGUCCAUGUAAUUGUGGUCGCAGUUAUAGUUUUCAACACCAACUACAAGCUCAUAAUGACUUUGGAUGUCCUAAACAAUUUUGGAAACUACGCAUUUGUAAAGUUUGCUGGAAGUCUUGUAAACCAACUUCAUCAUUAAGAGCUCACAUGAUAUUGGCUCAUAAUGUAAUUACUGAAUAAGAAACUGCUUUACCAUUAAAUUUAAAAUUACCAUUUUUAUAUUAUGUAGGUUAUUUGUGAUAAAUAAUAAUUACUAGUAUAAGUUAAACUAGGUGACUCAUAGUGAUAAUUACUAUUUGUUUUUAAUUUUUUUUUUUUGAAUAUGUUCAUUAUCAUUUAUUUAAUAGAUUUUUAAAUACAUUACCUAUAAGGCUAUAGAGAUGUUCAAAAAUAUAUUGUCUAGUCUACCCAAAGGGUGUCCAACUUUAUUUGUAUAAUUUUGCAAUACUCUUAAUUAUUAUAAAUAAAAAAUAUGUUAUCAAUGAUUUUGCAUAUUGUUAAACACUAUUAACAUGAUUAUUUUUACAUUAUAAUUCCAAAAUUAUAAUUUAUGCCAACAGAAUUGUUAUUAUUUUUACAUAUCUGAAGAAAAUAAUUAAGCUAAAAAAGAAUUAAUUAAAAUCAUUUCUUUAAAUAAUCAUUAGCUGUACAAAAGUAUUCUUGUAAUGUAUGCUUAUAUGUUGAACAUAUAAGCUUUUAAAUUUAAUCACCACACUUAAUAAAUAUUUAGUGUUAUAUUCAUUUGUUAAAUGUUUAGGGAGAUCCCUUAAAUUAUUUAAUUAGAUUUAGAUUUAUAAGAUAAUGUAUUAAUGUAAAUUCAAAUACAAUAUCAUUGAAAUACCCAGUGUAUAAUAUCAAGUUUAUUAUGCAUUUAAUCAACACAGGUAGUUGAGUCUAGGACAACUAGAACUCUUUACUUUUAAUCAUGAAAGCUGUUUUAAUAAAGCCUGUAUAAUAUCAAAUCCACUAUACAAUGAUUUGGUUAGGUUUGUAGUUUUUAAAAUAUUGCAUACAUGAAAUACUUAGUAAUACGAAUAAAACAUUUUUCCUGUUAAUGUAAUCCUUAGUUGUAAUACAAACUUCAAGACAUCAUUUGCAUUUUUAAUAUUUAUUCUAUCAUAAUUUACAACAUAUAAGAAAAUGGAAUUAAGUUUGACGAACUACUUAUGAUUUAUCUUUAUAUUAAUUAGUAAAUCUAGCGACGAUUACUAUACGUAUAAAAAAUUAAGCAAAAUAUUCGAAGUGGAUAAAAAUGUUGUGAUUUAACAUCGACUAUGAAUUAUUAUUGGUAAACAGUAAUGAUAAAAGUAAAUUGUAAUAAAUACAAUAUAUUCAUUUAUAAAUAUAUUACUACUUUAUAUUGUUAGAGA